rnacentral:rRNA from 1 species
GAUUUCUGACUUGGCGCACCUGGCCCGCCACGGUUACGUGUGUGAGUGCCGGGAUGCGCCUGUCACUUUUCUGGUAAACCAUUGUGCUCUUCGCUGAGUGUGAUGGGUAGCCAGAUAUUUUACUUUGAAAAAAUUAGAGCGUUUAAAGCAGGCGUUUGCUAUGAAUACAUUAGCAUGGAAUAAUAAGUUAGGACUUCGGUUCUAUUUUGUUGGUUUCUAGGACUGAAGUAAUGAUUGAUAGGGACAGUUGGGGGUGCUAGUAUUCAGCGGCCAGAGGUGAAAUUCUCGGAUUCGCUGAAGACUAACUUAUGCGAAAGCAUU